CGGCGGACGGGUGAGUAACACGUGGGUGACCUGCCUGUAAGACUGGGAUAACUCCGGGAAACCGGGGCUAAUACCGGAUGGUUGUCUGAACCGCAUGGUUCAGACAUAAAAGGUGGCUUCGGCUACCACUUACAGAUGGACCCGCGGCGCAUUAGCUAGUUGGUGAGGUAACGGCUCACCAAGGCGACGAUGCGUAGCCGACCUGAGAGGGUGAUCGGCCACACUGGGACUGAGACACGGCCCAGACUCCUACGGGAGGCAGCAGUAGGGAAUCUUCCGCAAUGGACGAAAGUCUGACGGAGCAACGCCGCGUGAGUGAUGAAGGUUUUCGGAUCGUAAAGCUCUGUUGUUAGGGAAGAACAAGUGCCGUUCAAAUAGGGCGGCACCUUGACGGUACCUAACCAGAAAGCCACGGCUAACUACGUGCCAGCAGCCGCGGUAAUACGUAGGUGGCAAGCGUUGUCCGGAAUUAUUGGGCGUAAAGGGCUCGCAGGCGGUUUCUUAAGUCUGAUGUGAAAGCCCCCGGCUCAACCGGGGAGGGUCAUUGGAAACUGGGGAACUUGAGUGCAGAAGAGGAGAGUGGAAUUCCACGUGUAGCGGUGAAAUGCGUAGAGAUGUGGAGGAACACCAGUGGCGAAGGCGACUCUCUGGUCUGUAACUGACGCUGAGGAGCGAAAGCGUGGGGAGCGAACAGGAUUAGAUACCCUGGUAGUCCACGCCGUAAACGAUGAGUGCUAAGUGUUAGGGGGUUUCCGCCCCUUAGUGCUGCAGCUAACGCAUUAAGCACUCCGCCUGGGGAGUACGGUCGCAAGACUGAAACUCAAAGGAAUUGACGGGGGCCCGCACAAGCGGUGGAGCAUGUGGUUUAAUUCGAAGCAACGCGAAGAACCUUACCAGGUCUUGACAUCCUCUGACAAUCCUAGAGAUAGGACGUCCCCUUCGGGGGCAGAGUGACAGGUGGUGCAUGGUUGUCGUCAGCUCGUGUCGUGAGAUGUUGGGUUAAGUCCCGCAACGAGCGCAACCCUUGAUCUUAGUUGCCAGCAUUCAGUUGGGCACUCUAAGGUGACUGCCGGUGACAAACCGGAGGAAGGUGGGGAUGACGUCAAAUCAUCAUGCCCCUUAUGACCUGGGCUACACACGUGCUACAAUGGACAGAACAAAGGGCAGCGAAACCGCGAGGUUAAGCCAAUCCCACAAAUCUGUUCUCAGUUCGGAUCGCAGUCUGCAACUCGACUGCGUGAAGCUGGAAUCGCUAGUAAUCGCG
rnacentral:rRNA from 1 species